ensembl:lncRNA
ACUGAUAUUUGGUAUUCCAUUUUCUGUUGUCACCUGUGUUUUAGAUGUCUGCAUUUCAAUUUUCAAUUUCAAUCACUGCACACGGAGUGUUUAAUUUACUUCUUUUUCACAUCAGUGGCAGUAGUAGUCCUUUCCAUUUUCUCUUCAGACUCUAAGUGAUUGAGGGCAGGGUUGGUACACCUCUUGUAUGGUGGGAUCCACCCGAUACUAAAAUUUUUAGUCACUGGUGUAAAUAAGUAUAGAAAUAGUGUUUAUAAACGUCCUAAGACUCAUGGUGUUUACUGACUCACCGUGUUUUUUUCCAACAGCAUCACAAAUUGUUGUUCCACUUGUGCUCCUCACAAAAUUUGCCCUUGGCUAUAAUCUCACAAAUAAUGCCACAUCCUAAUCAGAGUCAUGGUAGAAUUUCUGUUGACCGGGGGGUGGGGGAAGAGGAACAAAGAACAAAAGAACAAACCUCUUCUUCCAAAGAAGCUUUCAGGGAAGAGAUGGUUCAGGCAGCGGGGUCAAGGGAGGUGAUCCUGCCCCUCUGCACUGAUGAGGCCUUACCUGGAAUAUUGCAUCCAGAUGUGGAGUCCUCAGUACAGGUGAGACAUGGACCUGUUGGAGUGCAUUCAGAGGAGGGACACCAGAAUGAUCCGUGGGAUGGAACUCCUCUCCCAUAAGGAUGGGCUGAGAGAACUGGGGCUGUUCAGCCUGGAGAAGAGAAGGCUGCAAGGUGAUCUGAUAGUGUCCUGUCAGUAUCUAAAGGGGAGCUGCAGGAAGGAGGGGGACAGACUCUUCAGCAGGGGUUAUGGUGAUAGAAUAAGGGGAGAUGGCUUCAAGGUCAAAGAGUAGAUUCAGGUUGGAUAUAAGGAAAAACCUUUUACAUUGAGGGUGGUGAGGCACUGGGACAGGCUGUCUAAAGAUGUGGUUAUUGCCCCAUCCCUGGACACUUUGAAGGUGAGGCUGGAUCAGGCCCUGGGCAACCUGAUAUAACUGCACAUGUGUCUGUUCAUUGCAGGGGAGUUGGACUGGAUGACCUUUAAAGGUCCCUUCCAACUUGAAGGAUUCUAUGAUUCUAGCAGACACACAGUUAGUUAUUCAUGUUGUAAAGAAUUAUCUCUUCAUGUGCCUUUUUCUUUACUCUUCUGCUUUGGUGUGUCUUUGUUUCUUCUGUAUUUUUCUAGUAAUAUUUAUUCUUAAUUUUUUUUAUUGCUACAGUCCAGUUUUCUUAUGCGUUAAGCAUGAGAGGUGUGCUCAUGCUGUGUAUGUUUCUGAGCUUUCUGAAUGUAUGUUCACCUUAUAAAUUGAAAACAGCAAAGCACGUGAUCUGAGAGGCAAUCUGGUAUUUUACUGCAAGGGAGUAUUUUCUGAGCACAAAAGUCAAGGGUAUAUAAUUGAAAAUGCCCUUUAGAAUAGAUUCAGUCAUGCUAAUACUUCAUUGCAUGUAACAGUAAAAUUAUUUGCAUGCAUAAAUGUUGACAAAGUUGAACUUGUUAUCAUCAAAUCUGCUGUCAGAAGUUGACCCUGUACAUUUUGCAAGGAAGAUGAUGAUUGUCUCUUUAAUUACUAAAUUCUGUUUUGCCUAUUUAGGGGAGCUAUACACAACUCUAAUUACUGCCAUUCGCAUCAGGCUCUCUGAUGGCAAUGUAGCUCUCAGCGCUGAAUGAACGUGGUGUGACAUAGCAGCAGUAUGCAGAUGCGAGGGCAUCCUUUCGACUGAAGACUUUGAUUAUCAGAUUAUUAUCAGACAACUGAGCUGAUACUGAAGUUGGCCAGCCGUCUGCUAAGCACUCCUGCGGAACUACAGAGUCAUAGAUGUUAAGAGAUGGAAAGUGCAUUAGAUCACCCAGACCGUCGUCUUGCCAGGAUGUUUUCUGCUACAUUUUUUUCUUCUGUGGUUUAUGGCUAGUGAAGCUACAAGAACUUGGCCUUCAAUCUCUGGGACUCUUUUCCACAAAACUUAAUGGCACAUUUUUUUUCUUUGCCUGAUAUUUGGCCAAAAUUUGUCCGUUUCUUUGUUUUAUCGCGUUGUUUCAAUUCUGUGGUCUCAUCUUUCAGUAGUUCUUUGCUCUGUGAUGCUAACAGCCUGCAACUGAGAGCAGAACAGAAUGAUGUGCUCUUGAGUAUUAAAGCAUCGCUGACCCGAGUGCUGCACCUUCAGUUCUUUAGGAUUUGAGAAAAAUGAUAGUUGUUUAGAUCAAGCUGCUAACAGUAUAACUUCUCAGAAGCUUAUUAUAGCAUAGGGGUGGUCUACUCUGGUGUUACCUGAGAAUUUGCUAAAGUUACCUGAAAAGGCCACUUUUACUUACAGGGAAAAAGAAUAAAAUGACACUUUCCUAUCAGUGACAGAAAUACUGGAAGUUGUAUGGUAGUUGUCUGCAUGUCUGUUUCCCCCCCCCCCACACACACACACACUUUCCAUUGUCCUCUAUUCUUCUCAGAACCACUUUCUAACUAUUGUGUUUUUGUAUAGUUCCAUUCGUUUUGGUGGGAUUUGGAGGUUGCUUGUUUGUUGUUUCUCAGUGCUUGGUCUUUUGUAUGAGAAGCCUUGGGUGCCCAAGCAGGGUUGGCUUCAACAUUUCCAACGUCUUAACCACAAAGAGCUUGAUCAACACCCCCCAAAAUAAACAAUCCCUGACCAGGUGGAGAACAAAUGGACAUUGUUCUUGCUGUCACCCUGUGGGAGAGAGGCCAGUUGGUGUGAGCUGGCCCAUGGCCGUGCUGUGCUGACUCAGACCAGAGUUCCUCUGGUCAUGCCCCAGUGCCUUAGCCCAAACCUCCAUUUUCUAAAGCACUGUAACUGUUUUUUUCAUUUCAGAGUGCACCAAAUGAUGAGAGGAUUGCUCUGCAAGUCUCCAGUGAAGAGUUUUUUGUUUUCUUUCCUUAAAGCCACCUAAGAAACUCCAUACACGCUAGGGAUAUUGAGGUGAGGACAGGGAUAUUAUAAGAGGUUAAAUUACUAUUAGAGAGUGGAUUGAAGGUAUUUGGGGAUUGGAUUGUGUAACCAAAGGGGGAAGUGAAUGAGGAGCGUGUAAAUGGGUGGCUUAGUGUGACUGAGUAAGAGAAAAUGUGAGUGGGCGGGUAAUUAGACUGGCAAGUGAGAGAGGAGGUAGGUAGAAGUGGGUGAGUUGAUGGGUAGGUAUGUAGUAAAAAAAAGUUGAAGCCAUUUCAUGGGUGGACUAACAAUACCUGAAGGAAUGGCUAAACCAACGUCACCCAAGGCUUGCAGGCGUUGUGGUGUGCUUGGGUAGAAAAGAGAGCUCCAAGACCUCUCUUGCUUUCCAACAGUCUGUAUCCAGCUCCACUGCCUAAAUCUUAGUGUGUUUGUGCAUGUGGUGAACAGUUGUUCAUGCCUUAGUCAGGUGGUCGUAUUUUGUUGAUGUUCAUGUGGGAAUAUGUGAGAUGAUCAUUAGUUGGCAGUGGUUUUGACUCUUAAUUAAAUAGCAGAGAAGUUAGGUGAACUCAGCAUAUGCUUUAGACUGUCUGGUACAUUGCCAUUUGUGGUGGUAUCUCCAGUAGUUGCAAUGAUUUAGAGCUGUAGAUGAAAUAAAUCACCUGGCAAAUAUUACAGAAUCACAGAAUGGUGGAGGUGGGAAGGGACUUCUGUGUCCAUCGGUGCAAAGCCUGCUCAAGGGAGGAAAACCCAGAGCUGUGCUCAGCCUGAGGUCCGGACGGGUUCAGAGGUCCCCGUGGAAGAGACCCCACAGCCUCUGGAUCUCUGUGCACAGCACAACACAGCACAGCAGUGUUGCCUGUGUCCAGAAGGAGCGUCUUGGGCUCCAAAUGAUGCCCAGUGCCUGUUGCUCUGGGCCUGUGUUGGCCACCACUGAGCAGAGCCUGUCUCCUCUGUACCCUCCCUUCAGGUAUUCAAGGGUGUGCUGGGAUUCCCCUGAGCUGUCUCUCCCUCAGGGGAGCAGUCCCAGCUCUCAGCCUCCCUGUAAGGGGAGGCUGAGAUUGCAGAUACAAAGAUGGACGUGCUCAAAUUACAGAUGUUCAACACAUCAGCCUAGCAGCAUUUCCCACACUUGGAAAACAAUUCAUUUGAAUGAACAUAACAUGAAGUUGAAGUAUUUAUAAAUAAUUAGCAAACCAUGACUGACAACUUUAAUUAGAUUUUUUUUUUUUUCCUGUAUCUGGUACAUUAGUUCACUGUGUCUAAUCAGUAAUUGGUUUUAAUUUACCAUGGCAGAGUUUAAACCCUCACUGUGACCUUUUCUAGUCAGAUACAGUCAGGCUAUUGUUGAAGGUAAUUGCUGUACUAUCCUGUUAAGGUACGCUGGGUUGUGUGCGGUAUGUUUUCAGUAUUUGUUGUAAUAAAGCAAGUCCUUUUGAAGCCCAAAUAGGGUUGAAUGACUCUUGCAGAAAGUUACAGGUUUUAUCUUAGCUGCCAAAAAGGUGUGUGUUUGCUAAGGAAUAACUAACACACUGUGUGGGAUUGAAAAUACCCUACUGGAGACCAGGCCAUGCAGGUCUUUGCAUCAAGUAACCAGGCAAGGUGAGAGUUUCGCCUUGCUGAGCAUACUUCUUGAGGAAGACUACACUGCUUUACAUGUGCUCUCACAGCAGGAUGGAGGCCUAGCACACCUCCCAGCCUGCUGUACCAAACAGGGUCACUCUGCCAUAGUCUUUUUUUCAUCUUGAGUGUCACCUGUUGCAAUCUGAAUCUCCUCCAAAGCUGUGAGUAUAGUCACGCAAGCUCCUACAAUAGUCUGUUUAAUCUUUAUCUGAGACAAAUCCAGAAAUACUUUGCUCUGCUAAGGCAGAUGCUGUGCUGGUACAAGAACUCAAAUCUCUUGCUAAUGUUCAAAUGCCGUAGUAACUGUGAGAAGUAAGAUGCAGAGGAAUGUGUGGGUAUGUUUAAUGCAAGCCUGCUGGGUUGUAGAUCUGUCAAAGCCCCACAUUUGCAUUACUUACAUAAGCACAAAUCCCAGUAGUGUUUACGCAUGCUUUGUGUUUUAGGAACUGCAGGAAUUGAAUUGCUAGGGUGAAAAUCCCCCUCUUACUGCCAUCAGCGGGAUUGCUUAGAGGCUGGUAAAAUAUUGACAGUUGCAGCCCUAACUAGAAGCUUGUUUGCUGUUACACUUGAUAUUAAAACUAACCACAACAACCAUAAGAGCAGCAAGUGUCCUCUGUGGAAACGCGGGUUGUCGUAAGAUUCUGAGAGUACAUAGGAAAGAAACCUUGAAGCUUCUUUUCUGUUGAAUUAAUUGUUUGUUUUUUGGCGGUGGCAAGGUUACAAAGCAUUUGCAAUAAGCAUGCUUCGUCUGUUGCCAUUUUUUUUUCCAUAUGGGUGUGUGCUUCCUUUUCAUUAUGUUGUUUUUCUUUCUUUUUUUUUUUUUCUUUUAGCAUAGCCGCUCCUUUCAUUUUUAGACUGAGGAAAGAGCUGCAGAAAAAAGGUUUCAUAAACACUGCGGUUCUGAUCAUUCUAAUCCUUUAUUACCUGAAGGGGCGGUUGCAGGAAGCUGCUACAGGGAAGGAGGCUUACAGUUUCCUAAAGGUUUGGGACUGUGCGAUGAAGCAGCCUAUUUUAGAUGCUACGGAGAAUGUUCAGAGCAACAUGGUCAAAAGCCUUAGGCACCAUCUCUGCAGUGGGCUUGGUGCAAACAGAUGAGUCGGCAGCAUUCCAGCGAGGAGGAUGGACGGCCUUGAGAGCCUUUGCCACGGCCAUGGGCAGCGCUCAGCUUAAACAACAGGGCUGAAUUACGUCAGAGGAGCACAGGAACAGUGGAGGAUUUCAGAUGUGUGGUCGGCCUGUCUGCUUGAUAACAUCUCUAACAGCAGCAAGUAUGGAAGAUCUGGGGAGAGGUUAUGGAGUUCUUGUUUUAAGGACAGUUGCAGAGAUUUGAGGAAUCGCGUGUCUUGUUUUUUCAUGCACAUCAUUGCUCUUGAAUGUUUUUCAUUAUUUACCCAAAGGCUUGAUCUGUGAACCCUUAGAAGAUCUCACCUCUGGUAUUCUUGUGGCAUUGAGCUCCACACUUGACCUGUGCUUACAAAGGCAAUGAGUAUUCCCCCACUCUCCAGGCCAUAAACCAUGCACGGCAGUGGGAGUUCUAUUUGUUCGUGCACGUUGCUGCUCUCAGUGCAUUAAGACCAGUGUCCAGUUGGGAUUGUAUUAUAAGUAGCUAAAUAUAUACAUAACUUUAGUUCAUUGUAUGUUUCCUUACAGUAAGAGAAGGAUGAGCAGGAGCGCUUCUUUUGUCUCUCUUCAUAGUUCUUCAUUUCACACACUGUUCCUUUGUUUCAUUUUACAUGAACUGCCUCUAAAUACCUGAAACUUUACAAUUCCAUUUCAGUUAAUCCAGUGCAGUCUGCCUCUGUGUCUGCUGUAUCUCAGCCUUACUCAGAAUCCCCAUUUCUCAUCAGUACCUCCAUAC